ensembl:lncRNA
AAAAUGACGAAUUUUUUUUUUAAUAGUCAAAAAUAUCACGUGAAUCACGUGGGGAAAAAAUUACGGUCGAGUAAAUGAAAAAUGUGGAAAGAAGAAAAUGAACUCAUUGUGUGGGGGAAAAAAAUUGUGAAAAUAAAUUUUAAAAAAUGUUUACAGAGAUAAUGUAAAAAAUAAAUAAAACAAACAAAAAAAAUCACAUGAUUUUUUAAAAAUCACGUUUGAAAAUAUAUAAAAAAAAAGUGAAAAUGUGGGGGAAAAAAUCAAACAUAACAUUAAAUACAAAUUUGGAAGAAAAAACAUGAAAAAUCAGGUACAAAAUAUCAACAACAAAAAAUAAACCAACAAAAAAACCCAUAGACUACACGUGAAGUGUCUAAAAAGCAUGUGUGUUUAUUAACGUGACGUUCGUGUGACUUGUCUACGGUUUUCCCGCUCGUAUCCUUCCUUCCAGUUUGCUCCCUCUUGUGUCCGUGUCUCUCUCUCCCCCUCUUCAGUUCCUUCUCCCCAGUGAUGGAUCAGCUCUUUCACUCUGUCACCCCCCUUUCAUGCGUCGUCUCAUUCACCACGGGAGGAGUCUGGCCCUUUUCUCUUUCUAAACACCUUCUAUCUAUCAUGCUGGGAGGACUGGGAGCAGUCGCACGUCCCCUCUCGCACUCUCAUGCUCUCUCUCGCGCCUCCCCUCUCCGUGCAAUCACCAGAGAUCAGGAUGAAAUAUGGAGGAGGGUUGCGGGAAGCCUGGAGCCUAUCCCAGGGGACUUGGAGCACAAGGGGGGACGGGGGACACCCUGGACGGGGUAGGUGAAUAUUACUUUAAUUGUAAUUUGUAUACAGUAUACAAGUUUGAAAAGUCUUACAGAUAAUGAGCAUUUCCUAAAAGGGUCUCCUAAAGAUUUCCUAGAGUUUCAGUUCAGAUCACACACUUAUGACAAGGGACCAUGUUAUCCAACUUCUAUCGUGUUACAUAUGUGAACCCAGUUUUCCAUAAACUUUAAAAAGGUCAUCAUACUUGGUAGAGAAAGUAUUCAAUGUGAAUAUACUCAGCUUAUACCGACAAUAACGGAUCUUUGUAGAUGCUGUGUACAUUUCUGCUGAAAACCUGAAAUAUUUAAGAGAGGAGUGAGAAUUAGUUGGGGAAGGUACUAUGCUGAGGGCCUAGGGCCUUAUGGCAAUGUCUUAAGGCUAGCAUCGCAUGUCUCAGACAUCCUCAUUCACCUGACUGACAGCCUGUGCUAACUUUCCUCACUGCCCCCGAUUUUCUCCAGCGCAACGAGAGCCUCGUUAAGUCACCGCUGUUUUUCGCUCGUCUGUCGCUCUGGGAAUUCGGCUAUCCGGGCUUCCUGUAGGCUUCCUAUUGCACUCUCUUGCCUAAAAAUACAGGAGUUCAACUGGAGUUCAUGUUAAAGUUACUCUUUAAAAUCUAGGGUUUACAUUCACUUGCAGUUUCUUUUUGAAUGGUAGUAGGUUAUUAAGAUUCCAUGCGUGCCUUGAAGCGGAUAUCAAUUAUAAGAAAACCUCUGGCUUCUUCUUCUUCUUCUUCUGGGCUUGAGUACGGUUAGAUAAACUGUCGAUAUGUAGGAUUUUCAUUUAGCGGUUAAUUCGUCAGUGAGAGCG